rnacentral:rRNA from 1 species
CCUACGGGAGGCUGCAGUGAGGAAUAUUGGUCAAUGGCCGGAAGGCUGAACCAGCCAUGCCGCGUGAAGGUCAGUGCCCUAUGGGCGUUAAACUUCUUUUGUGCGGGAGCAAUAAUGGUCACGUGUGGCCAGACGAGAGUACCGUACGAAUAAGCAUCGGCUAACUACGUGCCAACAGCCGCGGUAAUACGGGGGAUGCAAGCGUUAUCCGGAGUUAUUGGGUUUAAAGGGUGCGUAGGCUGGGAGUUAAGUCCGCGGGGAAAUGCCCCCGCUCAACGGGGUGAAGUGCCAUUGAUACUGCCGUGCUGGAAGGCGGAUGCCGGGAGAGGAAUGUGUGGGG